AAAAAAAAGGAAAUUCCAAGUGAUUAGAAACAUGACAAUUUGAAAAGGUGAAUGUUGCUUGCAGUGAUGGAAUAUACCUAACAAAAAGCUUUAGAAAAUUCCAAGUGAUUAGAAAUAUGGUAAACGCUGAUGGACUUUCAUUC